AUUAAAUGUCAACAAUCGGAUCAUUUUGGACUUUUAUAAACAUUAAUAAAACAGAUGUUUAGAAAAGGACAAAUUGACCCGAUUAUUGAUAUAAUAU